AUGCUUGCUUCUUAUGGGUGUGAGGGGUCAGUGCAAAGAGCAACGAAACCCGAGAACGGUGUCUUUCCAUCAGACUCAGCAAGAUGGGGACCAACGCCAAGUCCUCUCACGACCAGAAAGGGAUGCCACAGCUUCUCCAAGACCCACUUUCACCGCUUGUAAACUCCUCUCACACCAUUAGAACACCGGGUGUUGGAUCAAAAUACACACGAGACAGGGUUUCAUGGUGACGAUGGCUCCAGUUUUACUGUCAUAUGGGUUGGAGACGGGACAGGGGUAAUCUUGGUGUUGUCUACAAUCAGUGCUCCUCUACAUUCCUUCUUCGAGGGCGGUUCUUCACGAUUGUACCGCAGUGCAGACUAUGGCAAGUCUUUCCAUGAUAUUUCUCAUCUCAUCAAUAACACCUUCAUAAGGAAGGAAUUUGGACUUCUGGCUGGACCAGGGAACUCUCAACAGGUGAUUCUGACUGCAGACACACCGGUUUUGGACAACACUGGUGGCGUCAUCUUUACCUCAACUGACGCCGGAGUGUCGUUUAAGUCUGUCCAGCUGCCUUUUCACCCGGCCCAGCCAAUCACCUUCCACUUCUUGAAUCCCGAGUACUUAGUGGUCAUCAGCAUAGAUGGUGGCCUGUGGCUUUCUCUGGACUUUGGGGCUGUG